UAAUAGAAAAUUGGAAAAGAAGCUUCUAGAAGUCUGGACAUAGAUGACACUGGGUUUGACCUUUCAAGGUCAAAGGUCAUGGCACCAAAUGAAAACCCGUGUGUGACUUCCUAUCUAUCGCCAAUAGUGAUUAUAUCAAUAUCUGAAACUGCUUUCAAGUUACAGCACUUUCAAAUCUGUCCCAUUAUAAACCAAUGAGGAUUUCAAAAAUUA